AUAUCUUAGUGGCGAACGGGUGAGUAACGCGUGAGCAACCUGACCUUCAGAGGGGGAUAACACUUGGAAACAGGUGCUAAUACCGCAUAAGACCACGACCCGACAUCGGGAUGCGGUCAAAGGAGCAAUCCGCUGAGGGAGGGGCUCGCGUCCCAUUAGAUAGAUGGCGGGUAACGGCCCACCAUGUCGACGAUGGGUAGCCGAGCUGAGAGGCUGAUCGGCCACACUGGAACUGAGACACGGUCCAGACUCCUACGGGAGGCAGCAGUGGGGAAUAUUGGGCAAUGGGCGCAAGCCUGACCCAGCAACGCCGCGUGAGGGAAGAAGGCCCUUCGGGUUCGUAAACCUCUGUCCUUGGUGACGAAACAAAUGACGGUAGCCAAGGAGGAAGCCCCGGCUAACUACGUG
rnacentral:rRNA from 1 species